CAAGCGGUGGAGCAUGUGGUUUAAUUCGAUGCAACGCGAAGAACCUUACCUACUCUUGACAUCCAGCGAACUUAGCAGAGAUGCUUUGGUGCCUUCGGGAACGCUGAGACAGGUGCUGCAUGGCUGUCGUCAGCUCGUGUUGUGAAAUGUUGGGUUAAGUCCCGCAACGAGCGCAACCCUUAUCCUUUGUUGCCAGCGAUACGGUCGGGGACUCAAAGGAGACUGCCGGUGAUAAACCGGAGGAAGGUGGGGAUGACGUCAAGUCAUCAUGGCCCUUACGAGUAGGGCUACACACGUGCUACAAUGGCGCAUACAAAGAGAAGCGACCUCGCGAGAGCAAGCGGACCUCAGAAGGUGCGUCGUAGUCCGGAUCGGAGUCUGCAACUCGACUCCGUGAAGUCGGAAUCGCUAGUAAUCGUGGAUCAGAAUGCCACGGUGAAUACGUUCCCGGGCCUUGUACACACC
rnacentral:rRNA from 1 species